rnacentral:rRNA from 1 species
CCCUAUGGGGUGCAGCAGUUGAGGAACUUCUACAAUGCACGCAAGUGUGAUAGAGCAAGCCAAAGUGCUUUUCCGUAUUGGAACAGCUUUUGUGAGAUGUAAAAAGUCUCACGAAUAAGGACCGGGCAAGACUGGUGCCAGCCGCCGCGGUAAUACCAGCGGUCCAAGUCGCAGCCAUGUUUAUUGGGUCUAAAACAUCCGUAGCUUGCUAUGUAAGUCUCUUGUGAAAUCUGGCAUCUCAAGUGUCAGGCGAGCAAGAGAUACUACAUGGCUAGAGACCGGGAGACGUAAGGAGUACAGUAAGGGUAGUGGUAAAAUGCGUUGAUCCAUACUGGACUAACAAUAGCGAAGGCACCUUACGAGAACGGAUCUGACAGUGAGGGAUGAAGGCUAGGGUCGCAAAACGGAUUAGAUACCCGUGUAGUCCUAGCAGUAAACACUGCACACUAAACAUCGGGACCUCUUCGAGAGGUUUCGGUGCUGAAGGGAAGCCGAAGAGUGUGCUACCUGGGAAGUAUAGUCGCAAGGCCGAAACUUAAAGGAAUAGGCGGGGGGGUACUACAACGAGUGACGCGUGCGGUUCAAUUAGAUUCUACACCGUGAACCUCACCAGGGUCGACAGCAGAAUGAAGGUCAGUCUAAAGGGCUUACCUGACACGCUGAGAGGAGGUGCAUGGCC